rnacentral:rRNA from 1 species
GUGCCAGCCGCCGCGGUAAUACGGAGGAUGCAAGCAUUAUCCGGAAUGAUUGGGCGUAAAGCGUCCGCAGGUGGCGAUGUAAGUCUGCUGUUAAAGAGUGAGGCUCAACCUCAUAAGAGCAGUGGAAACUACAUAGCUAGAGUACGUUCGGGGCAGAGGGAAUUCCUGGUGUAGCGGUGAAAUGCGUAGAGAUCAGGAAGAACACCAGUGGCGAAGGCGCUCUGCUAGGCCGUAACUGACACUGAGGGACGAAAGCUAGGGGAGCGAAUGGGAUUAGAUACCCCAGUAGUCCUAGCCCGUAAACGAUGGAUACUAGGCGUGGCUUGUAUCGACCCGAGCCGUGCCGUAGCUAACGCGUUAAGUAUCCCGCCUGGGGAGUACGCCGGCAACGGUGAAACUCAAAGGAAUUGACGGGGGCCCGCACAAGCGGUGGAGUAUGUAGUUUAAUUCGAUGCAACGCGAAGAACCUUACCAAGGCUUGACAUGUCGCGAAUCUUCUUGAAAGGGAAGAGUGCCUUCGGGAGCGCGAACACAGGUGGUGCAUGGCUGUCGUCAGCUCGUGUCGUGAGAUGUUGGGUUAAGUCCCGCAACGAGCGCAACCCUCGUUUUUAGUUGCCAGCAUUAAGUUGGGCACUCUAGAGAGACUGCCGGUGACAAACCGGAGGAAGGUGGGGAUGACGUCAAGUCAGCAUGCCCCUUACGCCUUGGGCUACACACGUACUACAAUGCUCCGGACAGAGGGCAGCAAGCAUGCGAAUGCAAGCAAAUCCCGUAAACCGGAGCUCAGUUCAGAUCGCAGGCUACAACUCGCCUGCGUGAAGGAGGAAUCGCUAGUAAUUGCAGGCCAGCAUACUGCAGUGAAUUCGUUCCCGGGCCUUGUACACACCGCCCGUCACACCAUGGAAGCUGGUAGUGCCCGAAGUCAUUACUCCAACCUUUCGGGGGGGAGGAUGCCUAAGGCAGGACUGGUGACUGGGGUGAAGUCGUAACAAGGUAACC